rnacentral:lncRNA from 1 species
AAGGUAAACAGACCAACCCCUUACCCUAUUAACCUAACCCACCCGGCCCCCUUUGGCCGGUCCAGUCCGGUUCCGAUUUCAACCGGUUUGGACCGGUCCGAAAGCGGGCUGACCCGGCUCGUUAGGCACCGUUGGUUCUACAUAUAAGACUACCCCUAUGCCUCAAAUGUUAUUUCUUAACAUUCCCUAGGUCGUUGAGUAAUAUUAGUAAAAUAUGGGUUCAGAAAACAGCAAAACCAAAAAACAAAAUCAAGAUUCAGCAUAUUUGUCCAGGGGAAGAAGAAAAGUGAAAGCAGCGGUAGAAGAAGAAUGAGGGAUACGACAAAAAUGAAAGCACUGAGAUCUGGGUUAGUGGUAAUUGGAGCUGUUGCAUUUGGUUACCUGAAUUUGCAGCUAAUGUUCAAGCCCUUUCUUGAGAAAACACAGUCACAACAAGCUCUCCUCCACUCUGAAUCAUCCCAACAACAACAAUCUGAGUCGGAUCAAAGCUUAUGACUAUUUCAUUUUAACUUAUGGUUCAUUUUAUGUAAUGCUUUUGCUAUUUUUCUUGAUCCCAUGUGGAAAAACUGGUUCAAUUUUUAUAAUUUUCAGCCCUGUAUCUCUUCUCUUAUAAUUCAUGGUUUAAAAGGUAAUGGCGUCAACUCAUUGUUAUCCAUGGUAUGUAGCUGAUCCUAAUGAUUGUUAACUAUGUUUGUGACAAAGUAGGAGGAUACUAGAGUAUUAAUCCUAGGACUUGAACCUGUGAAAUAAAGCAAUUUUUAACCCCUUUGCCACUAAAGUUGUUUUUGCCCUAUUAUGCAAUGUAAUUUUCCGGCCAAGGGGAUUCAAUUGAACCCCUUGACGGACACCUAGCUCCAUUCGUAGUUUGUCCGACCAGUAUUUUAAAUGAGUGGGUGGAGUAGCAAAUGUGUCUACCCCUUCUUUGUUACAGUUGAUUUUUUUUUUUUCAAAAUUGAUUUGGACUUAGCAUAAAUAUAUAUAUACAUAUUAAAAAAAUGUAUGCAUACACCUACGGUCGAAGGAAGCGGGUGCAUCUGCAAAAUGGGGCCGUCCUGGUAAAUCAUCCCAUUUUUGUGUCAAAAGCUCUUUAAAGGAUUAAAGUCUUGUCCAUACAGGUCUGAAUUUGAAACUUCUUUUAAAGUAGAAAGGAAAAAAAAAUUGUCUUUGGAGGUCGACCAAGGCAGUUAUUUCUUGGCCAUGCUAAUAAAGGAUAGGAGGUUAAUCUUUCUCUAGCUUUUUUUUCGUUUCAAUUUUAUGUGGUAGUAUUUGAUAUUGUAAGUAAUGCUGCAGUGCUGAUUGUGUGUUUGCUUGUGAGUGGGAUUAAGGAAGUCAGGGUCUUAGGAAACAUAAUUUGGCUUGGGAUAGAGAGUUGGAAAUGGGGACUCUAUCAAGCUUUGGUUAUUUGAUUAUUUCUACGGACUGUAUCUAAUAGUAGCCCCAUGUUUUGGUGAGUGGUUAAAUUACUGAUUUUCUUUUCAGCGAUUUAAACCAAGUUUAGCUUCAACUCCUUAUUCUAUUUCAAGUGGUAUUAGGUGUAAGAGGGAGUAGCCGUAGGUGACAUGAAAAUGAUCAUUGAUUUCUUGAGCUGCUAAUCUGCUAUGCAUAUGGUUUUGAUUACUUACUUGUUGAUCUUCUUUUGCUAUGUUCUCAAUUUGACAGCUCUUACUGAAGCAGAGGAAAUUUGUGUAUCAAGUAGCUGCUAGACUAGUAAGGUGCCUAGGUGUCUCCAUUUCAUUUCUAUAGUGGAAUUUUACGGCAGUGCCAUGUUUGUUAUUGUGCAACAGUGUUUGAGAACAUAGGUUUAGAGGUUUUCUUUGACCUAUUCAAUAGAAAUAGCAUAGAAAAUUUUGACGACACACUGAUCGAAUUUUUGUAUUCCAAUUGGAGGAAGACAUCUGAGGCUAACAUAUAUAUGGGGAAAGUGAAAAUCAUAUUUAAGUAGCUCGCCACUGGAGAGUGUUAGGAGGCUAUUGUGAGAGCUUGCCUGGAAUUUUCAACAAUAGUUUCUCAUAAAGCCUUGUGAGAAGUUCAACUACUGGUUUGACAUGUUGUUGGAGAAAUUUCUCCUAUUGACCAACUUCAACCCAUUACCAGGACUUAUGUAUUUGAAGUGAUGCCACCUACCAAAAUAUGCGUCGGAAGUGAGGACCUGAAUGGAGAAUCUGAGAUGCAAUUGUUUGGGUUUUAAGAUUCUGAAGUAUCUGCAGCAUUUGGAAUUGAAUAUUAAUCAGACUUUCCCGUAAGAUUUAAAGAAAGAGUUAUGGGGAUAUUAUAUACUGGAAUAGGCUAAAUAUUCGUUUUCUUGUGGUUAGCUGCUUAGAGAGCAUUUUAACAUUUAUAGCCGAAACAAAGAUAAAAAGAGGGAGAUAUUGCAUUGCUGGUGUGUAUUCUGCAUAAAACCAGGAGAAGAACUGAAUCACCUUUGCUACAUGUUCAAGUUGUGAUAUAGAUGCCUGGAGUCAGGGUGAUAUUAGAAUAUCAUUUAUUACUUUGGAAGAGCUCCUUGUCGGAUUGUUUUGGUUCCUUGAACGUUCACUUCUUUCUAUAGUUUCUUAAAAGGUUCAACUGAAACAGAGGAAAUAAGUGAUUUAAAUACCUACUAGAGUAGUACAGCACCUAGGUGUCUACAUUUUGCUUCCAUAGUGGCCUUUUGAUGGCUGUAUCAUGGUUGUUUUUAUACAAUGGUGUGGAGAAAUAGAAGCUUGGAGGGAUAGUAGAAACUCGUAAGGAGACACCGACCUUAACUAUUGAUCUCACUUGGAGGAAGAUAAAAAAUGCAGUAACUCACCCUUGAGAACUUCGGGACUUUGGUUCGAGCGCAGCUCGUGAAAUGUGGAUUAGGUGCACAUCAUGAGUUUGAUCCUUGCUGCAGACAAAAUUUUAGUAUUUAAGUGUUGAAAGGUAGAGGGGCAGGUCCAUUAUCCACUGAGUUUUGAACCGUGCGCCACUUGGCCCUUGGGAUUUCUUGGUUACUAAAAAAAGUAGCUGCUAAUCCCUGGAGAAGGGUAGGAUGGUUAUUAUGAGAUUUCAGAUGGAGCUUUCAAAGAAUAUAUAUUUUCUUGUAAAACCUAAUGAGAGGAAGUUUUACAUAUGGUUGGGCGGAAUUUCUCCUAAAGACCAGCUUCAACAAUUUCUGUUUAGUUAGUAAAGGACUGAUGUAUCAGACAUGUGGCUUACUUACCAAAAGAUGUCAGAAAUGGGGACCUGAAUGGAGAAUUUUAGAUGCAGUUGUUUUGGUUAGUAAGGAUUUUGAUUUAGAUGCUAAUCGGGAGUUUCUUUUGAAGGUCAACAGAGCAAGAAUUAAUUUGGGAGAUUGGAUAUAAGCUGGUUAGAGUAUGCAAAGUUUGUGUAGUUAGCAUAGCAGCAGAUACCUCAGUUCACAAAUACAAACAAAUUAAUAAAGAGAGAUUUUGCUUGCUUGGUGUAGAUUCUGCUAAAGAGAGAUUUAACAGGUGAUAGAGAGAAAUUCAAAGGCAUCUAGUUGAGGUGAGGUAAGUGGAUCAGAUAAAUGAUGAAAGUGGCACUCCAUAUCUAAGUUUGGAUGAAUGAGGGCCCUAAUACUUCUCAUCGACAAUCAUGGACUCUUGCCCCGCUAUCUUGGACAUGCAUAAUUAUGUUUAUUGGCAAUCUAUUACUGUAUGUAGUACUUUGUUAACAAUGCAUACAUCUCACAUAAUUGCAGGCAUAAAGGUCCAUUUGCAUUUGUCUGAAGAAGCAUGCUUUCACUCAUACAUGCUUAUGGUGAAAGAAAGCUACAGAUGUCAUGUCGUCUGAUUGUUUUCACUACAUUUCCAAAGUAUAAUUUUAGGUAAGUGCUGUUUAUUUUUGCAAUUGUCAGGUUUAAUUAGCUGAAGAAUGGCUACGGAAACAAGACACUUUUUCGAGUUUGGUCUUUUUCUUAAUAUUUUCGACCUCCCAACAAAUUAU